rnacentral:misc_RNA from 1 species
AAGUCGUAACAAGGUUUCCGUAGGUGAACCUGCGGAAGGAUCAUUAAUGAUUUUAGUUAUUUGUGAAUUUUACUACAAACAAAAAUUUAAUUUUAUAAUCAAAAAAAAAAAAAAAAUCAAAACUUUUAACAAUGGAUCUCUUGGUUCUC